rnacentral:rRNA from 1 species
UACGGAGGGUGCAAGCGUUAUCCGGAUUCACUGGGUUUAAAGGGUGCGUAGGUGGGCUGGUAAGUCAGUGGUGAAAUCUCCAGGCUUAACUUGGAAACUGCCAUUGAUACUAUUAGUCUUGAAUACCGUGGAGGUCAGCGGAAUAUGUCAUGUAGCGGUGAAAUGCUUAGAUAUGACAUAGAACACCAAUUGCGAAGGCAGCUGGCUACACGAAUAUUGACACUGAUGCACGAAAGCGUGGGGAGCAAACAGGA